rnacentral:sRNA from 1 species
GUUUUUGUUGUUCUUCUGUUUGCUCAUGACCGGCUGCUAUUCGUUCCAGCUCCCGCGUCUUCUUGUACUCCACGAUAUCCUUUUCCGUCUUGGCUCUGGCCAGCGGGUUUGUGUAUCCGAUGCUCAAUAAACAUGUCCCGACUCCUGCAUGUUUGAUCACAAAAUGAUCCAUUUUAAACAACCCAUGAGAGAUUACUCCAAAAAUGUAACUUGGGCGAGUCUUCGGAUCGGGGAAAACGUGUUCGUUCACUUGUUCCUGGACCCCUAGGCCAUUAUGUACGAAGACAAUUGUAGAAUACGGGGUG